UUUACUGGGCUAGUUGAGCUCACCCUUUUGUUCCAUUUUUCUUCUCAGGAGGUGAGAACAUAGCAGGAACUAGUCGGGGUACGGAGUGAUGGUUCUAGAAAGUUGUUUUAGCAGUCCUCACUAUUUUUAAAAUAGUGUAUCAAUAAUUAUAAUGAGGACUCCUUUUGAGUUUUUAUACUCUCUAUUUGUAUUUAAACUCACAGUUUAAUGAAGUUGUAUUUGUUUCUGUACCAUGUAUUUGGCGAC
rnacentral:lncRNA from 1 species